rnacentral:lncRNA from 1 species
CGACGUGUGGCGGCACUAUUAUUCAAACCAAACACACAGUGUUUAUAAUAACUUUCGCGAAUUACACUUAAACAAUCAUACACACAUACAAAAGACGUUGACUAUCAGUGGAGUGACUCUGGUGGGGUUACUAUCAUUGAGAGUCAUAGUGAACCUACCGAAAGAUGAAUAGGAGAGAGCGCCUCGACCUAGGAUCCAACUACCUUCAAUCUUGAAAACU